ACAAAAAAAAAAAAAAAGAAGAAAGAAAGAAAGAAAAAUAAAAAAUUAGCCAGGAGUGGUGGUGCAUGUCUGUAGUCCCAGUUACUUGGGAAGCUGAGGUAGGAGAAUCAAUCAUGUGAGCCCCGGAGGUGGAGGGUGCAGUGAGCUGUGAUCACAUCAUUGUAUUCCAGCCUAGAUGACAGAGCAAUAACCUGUCUCGGGAAAAAAAAAAAAAAAGUUAAUUUUUGUUAAAAAAUAGUUACAGAGGCUGGGCAUGCUGGCUCAUGCCUGUAAUCCCAGCACUUUGGGAGGCUGAGGUGGGUAGAUCAUGAGGUCAGGAGUUCAAGACCAGCCUGGCCAAGAUGGUGAAACCCCAUCUCUAUUAUUAGAAAAAAAUAAAGUUGCAGAAUUUUACAAAACUACUCUUUAAGAGGAACUUUAUCCUUCCCAUUUUACAGAUGCCUCUUGGAAUAAUCAAGAAGAUACUUCAGCACGUUUUCCACCUAUCCUUUGCUUUUCCCAUAGGAAGAGGAAUGAUUAAUCUCACUCCGGCACCAGGCGUCAGGCUGGAGUGCAGUGAUGCGACCUUGGCUCACCGCAACCUCCGCCUCCCAGGUUCAAGCAAUUCUCCUGCCUCAGCCUCCUGAGUAGCUGGGAUUACAGGUACGCACCACCAUGCCCAGCUAAUUUUUUUUGUAUUUUUAGUAGAGACGGGGUUUCACCAUGUUGGCCAGGAGGGUCUCGAUCACUUGACCUUGUCGUGAUCCACCCGCCUCGGCCUCCCAAAGUGCUGGCAUUACAGGUGUGAGCCACCGCGCCAGGCCUAGGUAUUCUUAUUUUCAUUAACUUCAAGGUAAUGAUGACAAGAAAGAAAAGGAGAGAAAAGAGGGGAAAUGAAUAGAAUUUUUAUUUCAUGUAAUCAUUUAUGG
rnacentral:lncRNA from 13 species